rnacentral:rRNA from 1 species
AAUCAACGCUGGCGGCGUGCCUCAGACAUGCAAGUCGAACGAUUAAAGCUCUCUUCGGAGAGUGUAUAGAGUGGCGCACGGGUGAGUAACACGUAAGUAAUCUACCUUUGAGUGGGGAAUAACAGUCGGAAACGACUGCUAAUACCGCAUAAUGCAGCGGCAUCGCAAGAUGACAGUUGUUAAAGGAGCAAUCCGCUUAAAGAGGAGCUUGCGGCAGAUUAGCUAGUUGGUAAGGUAAUGGCUUACCAAGGCUACGAUCUGUAUCCGGUCUAAGAGGACGGUCGGACACACUGACACUGAAUAACGGGUCAGACUCCUACGGGAGGCAGCAGUCGGGAAUUUUGGGUCGAAUGGGCGAAAGCCUGACCCAGCAACGCCGCGUGAAGGAUGAAGUAUUUCGGUAUGUAAACUUCG